GUGUAAUAAAAAAUAUGGUGAAUCCCGUUGCUGACUGUCAUUCAACAGAAGGUCAGGCUCAUAAAAUAUUAUGGUUUGUCCUCGUCCUUCUUUUUCAUUGGAUUUGGCACCAUCAGACGUCAGGCUUUUCCCCAAAGUCAAAAUGACCAUGAAAGGUAAAUGUUUUGAAACAGUUCGGGACAGUGAAGCAGCUGUGACAGCUCAACCAAAGAUUCUCUCCAAAGAGGACUCCCAGAACCGCUUCAAAGAGUACACGGAUGACUGGCUACAGAAGUACAGACAAGCAGGUGCAAAUUCUUCAUGUCACCCGGCCUGCAGAAGGCUCGAGAGCCAGCCCUCCUGGGAAAACUUAGUUGGUGAGGAGAGGCCACACGGACUUUGGAGACUUUGGAGAAUGAGACACUAUUUUGGACAUUUCAGCCACAAUCAAACUCCCAGCUGAAUGUUGUUGAGUCUUCUAAGCACUACAAGCAAAAGCAGCUGAAGAACUCCAGCUGAAUUCAACCUACAGAGUAAUUAAAAUGUAAUAAAUUAUAGUAAACC
rnacentral:lncRNA from 1 species